CGCCGCUUCCUCCACGAUGCGAUGGCGCCGCCUCGUUCUCCCGCCGUCUAGAUCCCCGCGGGUGCUGCCAACUACGAGAUCUACGUUCAGCGCUGCGCGAUAUGCUCUCCGACGGCGAGAAGCAGCUCCAGGCCACCUCCGUCCUCCGGUGACCUCAUCCACGGCCUUGUCCGCGACGCCGGCCAGUAGACCAUGCGUCCAGGCACUUCUCCACAGCGCCUCCGACGACUUCGUCUUCCUCCCCUUCUAGUACCAGAAGCAGAGCAACAGAGAGAGCCAAGGGGAUGGGUGCCGCAGCCUCAUCUUCUUCUUCCCUGAGGUGACUUGAGGUGCCGCAGUCAAGAGGCUCGCUCGGCAGCCAACUCUUGAUUGCCGGCCAAAGUCGAUUCUUGCUGGCCAUGGCUAUCGGAGCUGUGCUCUCCUCGAGCAGAGAAUUUGCCGCUCCCAUAUCCUCCUCCUCACCAGCAGCCGAGAGGAACCGAGGAAGGAUAUAGUGAUGGUGAAGUGGCAUUGUUUGGUCGAUGCCGGAUCCAGUAGUGGUACCAUCAAACCAUUAGCUUGCUCACAUAUCAUCUGUCAGUGUGGUAAGCUGGUGAGGGACAAGGCCAUGAUCAAUUCUGCGUUUCGGACAGUGUCCUUUUGUUUGAUUUAUUUGGUCAAGCCGGAGACGAUUGUGAGGACGGAUCUCCUGCGCGCCGCCAUCUCUUCACCAGGCACGAAGCCCCUGCGUGUGGUCGAGGCGGCCAGAGCUGCAGCUGGAUACAGUAAGGUGAAGCUUCAAACUUGGCCUCUUUACAGCUCCAGUUCAUGCAUAUAUGUGUUUGGUUAUCUUUGAAAUGCAGAAAAAAUUAAGAACAUCAAUACUCUGGAAUUGAGUUUCACCAGGUUCAUCAUCAUAUGCUGGAAUUGAGUUGAGAUCAAGUACCCUCCCCUUGAACUAAUAGUUUCUCGUAGCUCCAGCACUACCCAAGCCACGGCUGACGACAGCGAAAUUCACUGGACAUGGUAUUGGUCAUUUGCAUGUGGAUUCAGGUUUAGGUACUGGAACAUUUUCAGUGAACUGUAGGAGGGUGGGCAGAGGGCGCACUCACCGGUGCUCUGGCAUCUUGCUCUACGAGGAAGAGGGCUCGACGUCGGGGAUAGGAACCUGGCCACGGUGGCGAGGCAAGGCUGGCCGGCCGUGACGGAGAGGCAAGGCCCAAACACGAUGAGAACUUUCUUCCGCGGUGGCGGACGGUGAUGGAGUUGCUAGGUGGCGGUGCGCGUCUGCUGCAGUCCGGCGUCAGGGCGAGGGAAGCACUCCAUCGACAGACAGACCAGACGAUCGACGGCGACAAAAUUACGUAUUUGAAAUUUGAUUUCAACCCAGAUUUGAAACAAUCAUGUAUUAGGUGUUUUUUUUUGCAAAAGUGAAAAUGAACGGAGGGAGUAGGACCUAAGCUGUAGACACAGGGCUACGCUAAUUCGCCUGUCUGGUCACCCAUGAGU